rnacentral:rRNA from 1 species
UGAAGAAGGCCUUCGGGUUGUAAAGCACUUUCAGUCGUGAGGAAGGUAGUGUAGUUAAUAGCUGCAUUAUUUGACGUUAGCGACAGAAGAAGCACCGGCUAACUCCGUGCCAGCAGCCGCGGUAAUACGGAGGGUGCGAGCGUUAAUCGGAAUUACUGGGCGUAAAGCGCAUGCAGGUGGUUUGUUAAGUCAGAUGUGAAAGCCCGGGGCUCAACCUCGGAAUUGCAUUUGAAACUGGCAGACUAGAGUACUGUAGAGGGGGGUAGAAUUUCAGGUGUAGCGGUGAAAUGCGUAGAGAUCUGAAGGAAUACCGGUGGCGAAGGCGGCCCCCUGGACAGAUACUGACACUCAGAUGCGAAAGCGUGGGGAGCAAACAGGAUUAGAUACCCUGGUAGUCCACGCCGUAAACGAUGUCUACUUGGAGGUUGUGGCCUUGAGCCGUGGCUUUCGGAGCUAACGCGUUAAGUAGACCGCCUGGGGAGUACGGUCGCAAGAUUAAAACUCAAAUGAAUUGACGGGGGCCCGCACAAGCGGUGGAGCAUGUGGUUUAAUUCGAUGCAACGCGAAGAACCUUACCUACUCUUGACAUCCAGAGAACUUUCCAGAGAUGGAUUGGUGCCUUCGGGAACUCUGAGACAGGUGCUGCAUGGCUGUCGUCAGCUCGUGUUGUGAAAUGUUGGGUUAAGUCCCGCAACGAGCGCAACCCUUAUCCUUGUUUGCCAGCGAGUAAUGUCGGGAACUCCAGGGAGACUGCCGGUGAUAAACCGGAGGAAGGUGGGGACGACGUCAAGUCAUCAUGGCCCUUACGAGUAGGGCUACACACGUGCU